CUGGAUAGUAAACACAAUGAAUGCGCUUUUGUGCCGUUUGAAUACUUAACUUUUAAUUUAAACUGUUUGUUCCUCUUUCUUUUCGAGAGAGAGAAAUGUAAUAUAUUUUGAACUCACUGAACAAUUUACAAAGACAAGUAACAGUAAUAUUCACUGUACUAGUAUAUAACUAUAUGUACACCAUUUAACAAGCCAGCAUCACCCUGC